rnacentral:rRNA from 1 species
CGCGGCCUAUCAGCUUGUUGGUGAGGUAACGGCUCACCAAGGCGACGACGGGUAACCGGCCUGAGAGGGUGACCGGUCACACUGGGACUGAGACACGGCCCAGACUCCUACGGGAGGCAGCAGUGGGGAAUAUUGCACAAUGGGCGCAAGCCUGAUGCAGCAACGCCGCGUGAGGGAUGACGGCCUUCGGGUUGUAGACCUCUUUUAGCAGGGAAGAAGCGAAAGUGACGGUACCUGCAGAAAAAGCACCGGCUAACUACGUGCCAGCAGCCGCGGUAAUACGUAGGGAGCGAGCGUUGUCCGGAAUUAUUGGGCGUAAAGAGCUCGUAGGCGGUUCAGUAAGUCGGGUGUGAAAACUCAAGGCUCAACCUUGAGACGCCACUCGAUACUGCUGUGACUUGAGUCCGGUAGAGGAGUGUGGAAUUCCUGGUGUAGCGGUGAAAUGCGCAGAUAUCAGGAGGAACACCAGCGGCGAAGGCGGCACUCUGGGCCGGUACUGACGCUGAGGAGCGAAAGCAUGGGGAGCAAACAGGAUUAGAUACCCUGGUAGUCCAUGCCGUAAACGUUGGGCACUAGGUAUGGGAUCAUAUCAACGGAUUCCGUGCCGUAGCUAACGCAUUAAGUGCCCCGCCUGGGGAGUACGG